UGCCAGCCGCCGCGGUAAUACGAAGGUGGCAAGCGUUAUUCGGAAUCACUGGGCAUAAAGGGCCCGCAGGCGGUUUGGAAAGUUAAUAGUGAAAGCCCUUGGCUUAACCAAGGAAUUGCUGUUAAAACUUCCAGGCUAGAGUGUUGGAGGGGUGAGUGGAAUUCCUGGUGGAGCGGUGGAAUGCGUAGAUAUCAGGAGGAACGCCGGAGGCGAAAGCGACUCACUGGACAACAACUGACGCUGAGGGGCGAAAGCUAGGGGAGCAAACGGGAUUAGAUA
rnacentral:rRNA from 1 species